GCCGCGGUUGGACACGCCCUCUUCGGCCCUGGGAGUGAAGGGAGUGGAGGCGGAACCUGAAGUAGGUGCUAAGGCCGCGGAGGCUGGGAAUUUAGGUCGUUUUUGUUUGCUUUUUCAAUGGAGCUGACGAAUGUAGCUCAGGAUCUUGUAUGAAGUAGUUUUACGACAUUUACACUCUACCUGACCGGAAGCAGUUCUCGAGGCUGAGAAGUCCAGGAUCAAGGCUGUGGCAGAUUCAUUGUUGGGGUUCCUGUCACACAGCUACACAGAGGCCCAUCCACCCGGCUUGUGCAAAUCUGCUCACACCCUCCAUUGUCCUCACACCAGUCCAGCCCUGAAGAAAGAGCCGAUGGACAAGUUACCUGCAGACAAUCCAACUCUCCAACUGGUAUCUAAGGGCCAAGCUUUAAAGAAAGGAGAGGAAGGAAAAAAAGCCUGGAGUACUUUUCUGAAUCACAGAGGGACACUGCGCAGUGAAGGUGGACUUCGUCAUAAUCCCCAAUGAACUUGAAGACCGUGACGUGAAAGCGACAGCACCAGUCUCUGGCUCUCCUUCCUGUAUAAACAUGCCCUGACCAGACAGGAGCCGUGGCUUUUCCUGGAUUUGCCCACAGCACCCAGCUGAGCCCCUGGAGUGCAGGAACCAAGGUGUAAUCCUGAUGGGGUCUGCAACACACUGAGCAGAACAUACUCCAGGGGAGGAGUAUACUUGCCAGUGGCACUGAUUCGGGGCUUGGCUGUGUGACUUGCUUUGGUCUCCUGGAACCCUCAGAGGGUCAAGAAAAACUCCUCAAAGGCCAGGAAAUUUAAUGUUGCAUCUCUUCCAAAUACAGAAGAAACCAAUUCCAGAAAGGCUAAUCAUACUCCUUCAAAUCCGGGUUGGAAGGAAUGCUCACUCCUGGUGGUUCCAGUGCUGAAAGAAUGCCAGUGUCUAAUGAGGUCAGUGUGAGGGCAGAGACAGAGGGACAGGGACAGAGAGAGCAAGGGGGUCUUGACAGCAUCUCGCUCCCUGGACCCAGUCAUCCCCACAGCCACAUCUACUGAUGUGGUUUGGUUCUGUAACCAUUAGCUGCCUUGUUUUUGCAUAAACUAGUGUGAAAUGGUCUCUACUACUCAUAAGAGAAAGAACUUUGAUGAAUGCAGGCAUCUGCUUUAAGCAUUAUUGUAUUGGGGUGAUGGAAAUGGUCCAAAAUUAGAUUUUGGUGAUGGCUGUGCUGCUCUGUAGAUUUACUAAAAAUCAUUGAAUUUUACACCUAAAGCAAGUUAUGUUUUUUUGUAUUUAAACUAUGUAUGUGAUAAACUUGUUCUAAAAAUUAUUGUUGGGAGUUUCCGUCGUGGUGCAGCAGAAACGAAUCUGACUAGGAACAUGAGGUUGCAGGUUCAAUCCCUGGCCCUGCUCAGUGGGUAUAAGGGUCUGGUGUUGCUGUGGCUGUGGAUAGGCAGGUGGCAACAGCCUCGAUUAGACCCCUAGCCUGGGAACUUCCAUAAGCCUUGGUGCAGCCCUAAAAAGACAAUAGACCAAAAAAAAAAAAAAAAGAAAAGAAAAGAAAUUAUUGUUGCUUAACAAAACCAGUGAGUGUUUUUUAAAAAUAAAUUAUUAUGAUUAUUGUUUGGUCCAUAGUCUUUUCUUAUUUUUCAUUCACCCAUUCAUUCAUUUGAUAACUUUGUUGCAUAACCACCAUGUUUCAGGAAAUAUACUAGGUGCUGGGCAUAUACUGGUGAGUAAAAAGAAAUGUUUACAGACUUUUAUUGUAAGUCCUUUUAAAUGUUGAUAGGUGUCCUAGUCACCAACCUUCCGUUAUUCUCAUUACAUCCUUUCAUUUGCAGAUAAUCUACAUUCCCCUCAGACUGAAAUUCAAAGCAGGAAGAACAGAAUGCCCUCUUUGAUCACAUUGAGAAUAAAGCACUUUGACACCUGGAACUGGGGAUCUACCGCUGCCCCAGGACUUUAAGCAAGGCUUGAUCUCACUAAGACUCAGUUUUCUGGUCUAUAAAAUGGAGCUUGUAAGAUCUGCCUCAUACAUUGUCCUGAGGAUUAGACAGUUCUUGGGUACAAAGUGCUGGCCCAAUAUUAGAUCCCAUUCCCCCUCCUCUAAAGAGGAUGAGGACAAAUCCAAUACUAGAGGCUCCACGACCGUCCUCCAAGAGGAGGAGAGGCUACUCACCCUCCUUCGAUGAUGAAGUAUCGGAGCUUGUCAUUGCUGUCUCGGGAGGGGGUGGCAUAGCACUUGUUCAGCGUCAGGAUCAGAUGUGUUGAGUCGGCUCCGACCACAAAGACCCCGACGUAUAGCACGUCCCGGGUGGUCAGCACUACCUCACCCUGGCGGUAGGGGUGCUUGUAGGAGGCGUUUUUGUACAGUGCCAUCUUGGUGGUGAAGCUGCCUUCUUGGGUGGGAACUGUCAGGUUAAUGACGCUACAAGGGAAACACUCAUGAGUCGGAAAAGCCCAAGCAACAGCAUCCAUUCAAUUACCUACCGUUUUCUAAGCUGCAAAUGCAGAAGGAAGGCCAAGCAGGGAGCAGUGAAGCCUAAUCGGGUACAUGUGGCAAUUAAAAUCUAAUGAAAUUUAAAAACUCAAUUCUUCAGCAUCCCUCUCCCCCAGCGCAUUUCAAAUGCUCAGUGGCCAUGGAGAGCAGCUGUAAGGGACAGUACAGUUACAGAACAUUUCCAUCACUGAAGAAAGUUCUGUCGAACAGUGCUGGUCACAAGGCAUUUAAGUUCAGAAAAUACGAAUUAUUCUUUUCCUAGAGCAUCAAAGACAGAUGCUAGCAAUUUUGAUUAUGUGAACUUUAACUGUCAAGGAGAAGACAGAAUGACACCUGCAGCCUGUGAGCUUCUUACCUUAGCAUUGGCUUCACGACAGAAUCCAAGGAGAUCUUGAUAUCCAGUUCAUAAGCACACGAAAAUUCCACAUUGAUCGUCCUGUCCCUCGUGAUGAUGUUGCCAGUAUUGUUGGCACUUUCGAUCCAAAUUGUGUUUUUAUACAUGAUAUGAGUGCCAUUGGACUGCAGAGCAAAGGGAGGUCAGAAAUCAUUAAACCUGGGUGUGAGUACGUGGCCUGCAUUUCAAAUCCUUGGGCCUGAAAGUGGAGAAAUGGCUUCAUUCCAUAUAUAACCCAGAGGCCAGUAUAAAUCAGGAUGGAGCUAGCCUCAGCAUUUACUAGGAAAAAAAAGUAUUACAAUAGAUGUCACCAGUACUCUUCGGUCUGAUAACCCUGAAUGCCCAUGGAAGGUGAUUUCAUGUACCACUGAAUUCUAAGUACAACCAGCCCCCAGUUAUCUGUGGGAACCCUGGCUGGGGACAGCAUGAAGUAUUGCCAUCCCAAGGUAAUACAAUCUUCUCUCUAAGUUCUUAAUUCAGAAUCCCUCCUCCACCAGAUCUUGUACCAGACAUGCCCACAAGAACCAAAAUGAACACAUGCACAUGUCUCUGUCUUCCUCCUUUCACUCCCUGAUAAAAGUGUUAAUGAGCACAGUUAUUAAAAAAAAAACAAAAAAAAAAACACAGCAGAAAGGUACAGAAAGAAGAGAAGCAAGACGCUUUGCUAAACUAUCAAUCAGAUAACCUGACACCAAAAGUUAGAACCUUGUAUUUCUGCAGCCAACUCUUAAAUUAUGUCUGGGACCCCUUAGCCCCUGAAAUAGCAGAAUCCAGCUGUCUUUAUCUGGAAGAACAAUAGAAGCAUGAGAGAGGUAGCAAAAAUGUGUCAAUACAAGGGUAAGGUGACAGCAGACAGUGCAAACCAGGGCAGGAAGUGUGUCACUUAUCUUGUUUUCAGUUCAAUCAACCACUUAGCACACAGUGAUUAUUCUCCCACCACUGUCCUUUAUUUUGCACAUGCCUUUUGCUGUUUUCCAGGAGCAUUUUUCUAAGUAGAACAGCCUGAGGUUGGUUUAAGGACAGUCAAUGUACAAACACCGGGAGCUGUCACCUGCUCUGCCCAGGUGCUCUUUCCGCCCCCGUUCCUCACCUGCACGAUGUUUCCGCAAUUCCCUUUGGUGUUGUUGAUCUGGAAGGAGAUAAAGUCUUCCCCCUCGAUGCCAGUGCACUGCCUGUCAUUGACCCGAACGCCCUCCCUCUCGAAGCCGAGCUGGAAGAGUUUGCACUUGGAUAUGGACACCUCCAUCUGGGCCGCCUUGCAGGUUACCUCGGCGUCGAUGAUGUCAUGGGAGUCUGUAGGAAGAGUUAUUCCAAAAGGCAAGUCAGUGGGAGCUGGUCUUGGCUGCGGGGGUGUGGCAAGACACCCCAUUCGCUUUAGAAGCGGCUAAUGCUCUUCACACAGAGGCUGCGGCUUUUCUAAUGCAGCUCUGAUCAAACUAAAUGAGUAUAUGAACUCAUUCAAGGCAAUAACUCGGCAACACUAGAGCCUUUUUUUAAAAGAUGAAAAUGCUGGGAGUUCCUGUUAUGGCUCAGCAAUAAUGAGCCCAACUAGUAUCCAUGAGGACGUGGGUUUGAUCUCUGGCCUCUCUCAGUGGGUUAAGGAUCCAGUAUUGCUAUGAGCUGCAGUGUAAGUCGCAGACGUGGCUCAGAUCUGGUGUUGCUGUGGCUGUGGGAUGGGCUGGUGGCUGCAGCUCUGAUUCAACUCCCAGCCUGGGAACUUCCAUAUGCCACCAGUGCAGCCCUAAAAAGCAAAAAAAAAAAGAAAAGAAAAGAAAAGAAAAAAACAGAUGAAAACGCUGUAUAAUGCUUCUUUUGUCUUUAUAAACGCAGGAUUUCCUCCUAUGUUUCCUCCUGUUA